GUUAUGGGCUCACUUAUAUGUAUAUAUAUAUAUAUAGGUUUAAGAGAAAGAACCACCUUCAAGCAGCUCAAUCAACAUUGAACGACAUUAUCUAUGAUAGAGAUAUCUAAGAUUAAAUUUUAUCAAAGUUAAUAUCUACAAUUACUAUUCUGAA